GUGUGAGCCAGGCAAAAUGAACAGUUUGAAGAUGCCAAAUCCUGCCUGGAGCUUUUGGGACCAAGACUGUUGCAUCAGCCACUUGGAAGCCAGGGAAAUUCAGGUGCUGGAAAAGUGAAGACCCAAUCAGGAACAUCAUUCUCUGGCCCUUCUGGGAUGAGCCAGUGGAGGACACCCCCAGAAGCUGGAGUCCUUCCUUCCCAUACCUGUGUGCCAAAAUUGAAGCAGUGCUGCAGGAGCUGACAUGAACAUCUGGACUAAUCAACUAAGGGAGAAAGAAUAUUUUUACAAGUGUC